UACGUAGGUGGCAAGCGUUGUCCGGAUUUACUGGGCGUAAAGAGCGCGCAGGCGGUCGAAUAAGUCGAAUGUGAAAGCCCCCGGCUUAACUGGGGAGGGUCAUUCGAUACUGCUCGACUUGAAGGCAGGAGAGGGUAGUGGAAUUCCCGGUGUAGUGGUGAAAUGCGUAGAUAUCGGGAGGAACACCAGUGGCGAAGGCGACUACCUGGCCUGUUCUUGACGCUGAGGCGCGAAAGCUGGGGAGCAACGGGG
rnacentral:rRNA from 1 species